GAUGAACGCUGGCGGCGUGCCUAAUACAUGCAAGUCGAGCGAACGGACGAGAAGCUUGCUUCUCUGAUGUUAGCGGCGGACGGGUGAGUAACACGUGGAUAACCUACCUAUAAGACUGGGAUAACUUCGGGAAACCGGAGCUAAUACCGGAUAAUAUUUUGAACCGCAUGGUUCAAAAGUGAAAGACGGUCUUGCUGUCACUUCUAGCUGGAUCCGCGCUGCAUUAGCUAGUUGGUAAGGUAACGGCUUACCAAGGCAACGAUGCAUAGCCGACCUGAGAGGGUGAUCGGCCACACGGGAGCUGGGACACGGUCCAGACUCCUGCGGGAGGCAGCAGUAGGGAAUCGUCCGCAGUGGGCGAAAGCCUGACGGAGCAACGCCGCGUGAGUGAUGAAGGUCUUCGGAGCGUAAAACUCUGUUAUUAGUGAAGAACAGAUGUGUAAGUAACUGUGCACAUCUUGACGGUACCUAAUCAGAAAGCCACGGCUAACUACGUG
rnacentral:rRNA from 1 species